rnacentral:rRNA from 1 species
AUGGUCAUGGAGGUCUCGUUCUCCCAUGCCUUGCUCUUAGCUUCUCUUCUCCUCCUCCUGUACUUGCUCUCCUCCCGUGGCAAGAACUCUAGCAAUGGCAGCAUCCCGAGCCCACCAGCGCUUCCCGUCCUCGGCCACCUCCAUCUCCUCAAGAAGCCGCUGCACCGCUCCCUCGCCGCGCUCGCCGUGCGCUACGGCGGCGGCCGGGACGGCGCCGGUCUCCUCCUUCUCCGGUUCGGCACAAGGCCGGUCCUCCUCGUCUCCUCCCCGGCCAUUGCGGAGGAGUGCUUCACCGUCCACGACGUCGCGCUCGCAGAUCGCCCGGGGCUUGCGUCGCGGCGGCUGCUCACCGGCGAUGAGUGCCCCAGCAUCGCCAGCGCGAGCUACGGUCCGGUCUGGCGCCAUCUCCGCCGUAUCGCUACCGUGCAUGCGCUCUCCGCGCACCGCCUUUCGCUGACGACCUCCGCGCGCGACGCCGAGGCCCGCGCCAUGGCGCGGAAGCUCUGGCGUGCCACCCGUGGCGCCACGGCGGUCAGCGUGAAGUUCACGGCGUUCGAGUUUGUUGUCAACGUGAUCAUGGACAUGGUCGCGGGAAGGCGCAUGGAGGAGGACGAGGUCCUCCGGUUCAAGGCGAUGACCGAGGCGGGGUUCGCGGCCGCCGGUGCGGCGAACCAGCACGACUUCUUGCCACUGCUACGGCUGCUGGACUUUGGAAGGACGAGGAGGAGGCUCGCUGGCCUGGCCAAGGAGCGGCACGAGUUCGGCCAGGGUCUCAUCGACGAAUACAGACGUCUCCACCACCGUCACGGUGUCGUCGGUGCUGUCACCGAGGACACGACGUCGACACCGGCACAGAGAACGGUGAUUGGGGACCUGCUCCGGCAGCAGGAGGGGUCGCUGGAAUCGUACGCCGACGUGGUCAUCCGGACGACUUGCCUGAGCUUGCUUCAAGCCGGGACGGACACGUCAUCUAGCACGAUCGAGUGGGCAAUGGCUCUUCUACUUAACAAUCCACUCGUUCUUGCAAAGGCGAAGGAGGAGAUCGACGCCGUUGUGGGCACAUCCCGGCUGCUCGAGGAGCACGAUCUCGCAUGCCUCCCAUACCUUCGUUGCAUCAUCACCGAGACCCUUCGGAUGUACCCUAUCGCCCCGCACCUUGCCCCGCAUCAAGCCUCCUCUGACUGCGUCGUUGCUGGCAGGCAAUACAUCAUAGCCCGCGGAACAAUGGUAUUGGUUGAUGUGUACUCCAUGCAGCGGGAUCCUACCAUGUGGGAUGAGCCGAACAGGUUCAUUCCUGAGAGGUUUGAGGUUGGCAUUGAUGAGGACGGUGACAAACAGGUGGUCAGGAUGAUGCCAUUCGGUAUGGGCCGGCGGAAGUGCCCCGGUGAGGGGCUAGCAUGGAGGACAAUGGGGGUAGCACUUGGGGUGAUGGUGCAGUGCUUCAGGUGGGAGCGGAUGGGGAAAGACGAGGUGGACAUGGGCGAGGGGUCAGGGUUCACCAUGCCCAUGGUUGUACCACUAGUGGCAAUGUGCCAACCCUGCGAAGAAAUGAAUGAAAUUCUCAAGAGGAUUUAG